rnacentral:rRNA from 1 species
GACGAACGCUGGCGGCGCGCUUAACACAUGCAAGUCGUGCGGUGUCGAAGGCAAGUCUUACGACAAGCCUUCGACACAGCGGCGAACGGGUGAGUAACACGUGAGUAGCUGUCCUAAGGAGGGGGAUAACGCCUGGAAACGGGUGCUAACACCCCAUAUGCCUCGCAAGAGGUGAAAGUGUACUUGCUACAGCCUUAGGGUGUGCUCGCGGCCUAUCAGCUAGUUGGUGAGGUAACGGCUCACCAAGGCUAAGACGGGUAGCCGGCCCGAGAGGGUGUACGGCCACACUGGAAUUGAGAUACGGUCCAGACUCCUACGGGAGGCAGCAGUGGGGAAUCUUGGGCAAUGGGCGAAAGCCUGACCCAGCGACGCCGCGUUGGGGAUGAAGCCCUUCGGGGCGUAAACCCAUGUUGUAGGGGACGAAGAAAGUGACGGUACCCUACGAGAAAGCCCCGGCCAACUACGUG